GUGUCAGCAGCCGCGGUAAUACGUAGGUGGCAAGCGUUACUCGGAAUUAUUGGGUGUAAAGGGCAAGUAGGCGGUCUAAUAAGUGAGGGGUGAAAUCUUCCGGCUCAAUCGGAAAAUUGCCUUUCAAACUAUUAGACUUGAGGAUGGAAGAGGGAAAUGGAAUUAGCAGUGUAAGGGUGAAAUCUGUAGAUAUUGCUAAGAACACCAGCGGCGAAGGCGGUUUCCUGGUCCAUAUCUGACGCUGAAUUGCGAAAGCUAGGGGAGCAAACAGAAUUGGAUACUCUGGUAGUCCUAGCCGUAAACGAUGAGCACUAGGUGUUGUCCCUUCGGGGUCAGUGCCGCAGCUAACGCAUUAAGUGCUCCACCUGGGGACUACGGCCGCAAGGCUAAAACUCAAAGGAAUUGACGGGGACCCGCACAAGCGGUGGAACAUGUGGUUUAAUUCGAUGCUACGCGAAGAACCUCACCUAGGCUUGACAUGCUCGUCGUAUCUCUGUGAAAGCAGAGAGUCAGCUCGGCUGGACGAUGCACAGGUGCUGCAUGGCUGUCGUCAGCUCGUGUCGUGAGAUGUUGGGUUAAGUCCCGCAACGAGCGCAACCAUUGCCCCAUGUUGCUACUACACGUUUGAUCUUCGGAUCUGUUGUGUAAGCACUCUUGGGGGACUGCCUGGGAUAACCAGGAGGAAGGUGGAGAUGACGUCAAGUCAGUACGGCCCUUAUGCCUAGGGCUACACACGUGUUACAAUGGACGGUACAAAGGGUUGCCAACCCGCGAGGGGGAGCUAAUCUCAAAAAGCCGUCCCCAGUUCGGAUAGCAGUCUGCAAUUCGACUGCUUGAAGCCGGAAUCGCUAGUAAUGGGAGAUCAGCUCGCUCCCGUGAAUACGUUCCCGGGUCUUGCACACACCGCCCGUC
rnacentral:rRNA from 1 species